rnacentral:rRNA from 1 species
ACGAACGCUGGCGGCGUGCUUCACACAUGCAAGUCGAACGGAAAGGCCCUGCUUUUGUGGGGUGCUCGAGUGGCGAACGGGUGAGUAACACGUGAGUAACCUGCCCUUGACUUUGGGAUAACUUCAGGAAACUGGGGCUAAUACCGGAUAGGAGCUCCUGCUGCAUGGUGGGGGUUGGAAAGUUUCGGCGGUUGGGGAUGGACUCGCGGCUUAUCAGCUUGUUGGUGGGGUAGUGGCUUACCAAGGCUUUGACGGGUAGCCGGCCUGAGAGGGUGACCGGCCACAUUGGGACUGAGAUACGGCCCAGACUCCUACGGGAGGCAGCAGUGGGGAAUAUUGCACAAUGGGCGGAAGCCUGAUGCAGCAACGCCGCGUGCGGGAUGACGGCCUUCGGGUUGUAAACCGCUUUCGCCUGUGACGAAGCGUGAGUGACGGUAAUGGGUAAAGAAUCACCGGCUAACUACGUG